rnacentral:rRNA from 1 species
AUUGAACGCUGGCGGCAUGCUUUACACAUGCAAGUCGAACGGCAGCGCGGGCUUCGUCCUGGCGGCGAGUGGCGAACGGGUGAGUAAUGCAUCGGAACGUGCCCAGUAGUGGUGGAUAGCCCGGAGAUAGCCGGAUUCAUACCGCAUACGACCUGAGGGUGAAAGCGGGGGACAGAAAGGCUUCGCGCUAUUGGUGCGGCCGAUGUCGGAUUAGCUAGUUGGUGGGGUAAAGGCUUACCAAGGCGACGAUCCGUAGCUGGUCUGAGAGGACGACCAGCCACACUGGGACUGAGACACGGCCCAGACUCCUACGGGAGGCAGCAGUGGGGAAUUUUGGACAAUGGGGGCAACCCUGAUCCAGCCAUGCCGCGUGCGGGAAGAAGGCCUUCGGGUUGUAAACCGCUUUUGUUCGGGAAGAAAUCCUCUGGGCUAAUACCCCGGGGGGAUGACGGUACCGGAAGAAUAAGCACCGGCUAACUACGUG